CCCCUUUUAAAACCCGCUCAAUGGCCUUUUGCUAGGAUCCAUUGAGCUGUUAAGAAGGGGCAGAGUAAAAACGCCGCUUUUGGGUGAAGUAGCAACUUGUGUCAUUUUACUUCAACAGGUGUUGUGACAAGA
ensembl:snoRNA